rnacentral:misc_RNA from 1 species
AUUCGGUGCAAUGUGUUUAUACGCACACAGAGCUGGGGUAUCCCAAAAGAAUUAUCACCAUUCAUUGUUGCAACCUGAGAAUUCUUCUUCUGAGGAUUUGGUGACUUCUCUUUCUUUUUCCACACACCUUGAAAUUUUGAUCCUGUUGUGCAUCUGGUUAAUGCUGGCAUAGUUGGUACAUAUGUGUUCCGUGAUCCACAGCCCGAUUUUGCCUUGCUUGCAUAAUAUUGAAGACACCUAUCCAAGCCAGACAUCAAAUCUGGUAGCAAUGCUGGAUGCAUUGGUAUUGGGAGCUGAAAAUAAGUAUCCAAAGUUUCAUCAAUAAUUCGCAGGACUUCAACAGCAGAUGGAGCAAAUCCUUCUUGAUUUGCUUGUGGAUUCCAGACCUCUUGUUGCAAAUUUCUGUCGACCCAUUCCUUGAGUCUAUCCAGUCUUGCUUUGAUCCAUGCUUUUACCAGAUUGGCAAUUGCAGCUUCAGCUUCAUAUGGAGGCAUUUCGCGGAUUAUUGCCUUCCCACCAUCAUCACUAUCUACAGAAUCUUCUACAGCAAUUUGCACAAGAUCUUUCUCCAG